UUCGCUGCCGCCCCUCGGCACGGGGCUUGUUGCUGAGCUUUUGGGGUUCUGCCCCCCUACACACACACACCCGCGCCCCCUCGUGGCUCUUCCCGACCGGCCCUGCCCGGUGCUGCGGGGGUCCCGCACAGCCCGCCCCGCCCGCAGCCCCGCGGCUGGAGGCAGGGGCUCACCUGCCGGCACCGGCCCGGCCCGGAGCCGCGACCCCCGCCCAGGCAGCGACAGGGCGGGGGAGGAGAUGCCACCUGUAAACUGGGGAAGUGGCGUGUGUGUCAGCACAUCCGGCAGAGAGUGAAACAAGGAACUCAGAAAUGUGUUGUUUUUUUCCCGUCUGCUCCGGUUCUAUGUUUGAGGGAAGCUUAAGGAUGGUCAUAUAGCUAGGAGAUGUAAGAAGAUCAGGUGAGCAAGCAAAUGGAAAAGGACUGGAAAAAAGUUCAAGGCUAGCAGACACUGUCUCUUAAGUGACCUUGAAGAAAGCUGUGCCAGGACAAGAGAGCUGGACCCCGGGCUGCCAUGACAUGAGCUACCUGACCUUUUUCACACUUGCCUGCUCUGAGCCAAAUUUAAAGCUGCUUUGGAAAACAUGUAGGCUAGAGGAAGGCAAGAAGAAGGAAUGGGAAAAACCUCUGGGCAAACUUCCAGCAAAAGUGAUCUGUAGUUAGCAAAGAGAUGCAUAUGAAAUAAAUAAUAUCUAUCUGAUUUGUAUGAAGUCUUCAGUCCAGCACUGAGAGCCACGUGAAAGCAAGACUCCUCCGCAGAGAACCCAGAAAUUACAAAGUAAAAAAUAAUUUAACCCCACCUGGGAAAUACUCCAAAACUUCCUUC